rnacentral:lncRNA from 1 species
AUGUCCCACCAGGUACACGCUGUAAACCUGGCUGCCAAAUCAUAUGGUGGAUGGAGAAAAAACACGCUGCAUGUAUGCAUUUCCCAUGCAGUAUCAAAAGGACAAACCCAAAAUAACACUGCACGUAGAGAAGAUGUAGGUAAGAGAGGUGGAAGCAUUGAUAGCUAUCUUCGUGAAGAUUUGGCUCUGCCCACACAGCCCCUGCUGCCAGAGCUGCCUGGGUGCUGUCUGAAAAAUGAAGAUAGUAACACUUCCUUGACUCCUGCAAGGGAUGUUGCAAGGAAGAAUGAAGGUACAGAAAAAGCUGUGAGUGCUUCAUCAUCUUACAUGAGCUUUAAAUAUUGCCGAUGUUGUUAUUCACUGUUUAAAAUGCAGCCAACAACUUGUACCGAGCAAAGAUAUGUUAUCCUGCAAACAACAGUCCUGGAUGGAGUAAAGUGA